rnacentral:rRNA from 1 species
UACGGGGGGGGCAAGCGUUGUUCGGAAUUACUGGGCGUAAAGGGCUCGUAGGCGGCCAACUAAGUCGGACGUGAAAUCCCCAGGCUCAACCUGGGAACUGCGUCUGAUACUGGAUGGCUUGAAUCCGGGAGAGGGAUGCAGAAUUCCAGGUGUAGCGGUGAAAUGCGUAGAUAUCUGGAGGAACACCGGUGGCGAAGGCGGCGUCCUGGACCAAUACUGACACUGAGGAGCGAAAGCCAGGGGAGCAAACGGG